AGAAAAAAAAGGAGCCUACCUAAGAGAAGUGUGGGAAUUUGAAGGAAUUUGGGAGUUUUUCCUUGAAGAAAUUCCACCCAAAUUAUGAGAAGAAGGGAUAGGAUGGAAGAAACCAAAAUAAAUGAGAUAAAAAGAGGAAGAAAGCUCAUAACCAGCAUAAGGGAACCUGUGAGCUUAAGGUAAGUUCUCUCCAUCAAUUGUAUUCUAUUUCUAUUGAAAUUUUGAGGUUAGUUUUUAAAUUUUGGGAAGGAUAUUUUUGAGGUUAGAAAUAGCUCAAAAACAUCCUCGAAUUAGCCAAAUUUCUGGGAGAAAAAGGCUCUAAAUUAAGUCGGAACUCUAUUAGAGUUAAGGUAACCUCAUUUAAACCUCCUUUUCUUAAAAAUGUAAUUUUCAUAUGAAGAGGUUAUUUUUGGAUUAAAAAUUAUCAAUAUUCCUAAAAGGAGACUCUGCCAAAUUUUUUUUAGAAAAUUGAGAUAAACUAAGUGGAGACUCUGCCCAUUUGAAACAGAAAAUUAAGGUUUUCAUAAGAGGAGACUCUACCCGCGUCAAUCGAGAAAUUUAAAGGUUUUAUAAGGGAAAAUUUUGUCAAAUUGAUUAAAGUGAUUAGAGCUUGUGUAAGAGGGGACUCUAACCAAAUCAAGGUUGCGUAGGACCUAAGGUAAGUGGAUAUUGUGAUCACAUAGCAUAUAUAGUUUUCAAGUGUUUUCAUCAGUGUUUUAUAUGUAUUUUCAUAUAUAAAGUGCAAGUGUUUGUGAAAGGGCUAUUGUGUUUUAAGUGUUAUUUUACCCAUAUGUUUUAGAAAGUGGUUUUUAUAUGUAUGCAUUGAUCGUUAUUGAGGUAAGCCGUUUUGAAAGCACCUGCAUGAUGCUAGGCUUCUGUGUGCCCAUGUAUAACUGUUCCUUUUUCAGGUGCAUGGGGAUGUAUUAAGUGUUAAUUGUGCACCUAUGCAUUCAUGAAAGUAGGAAGAUGUGAAUGACCCUCCAUAAUGGUGAUGUAGUAUAGCUCAUUGUACACUGUAGCCAAGUGAAUGUGAUGAUUUAGUUAUCUGUUUUCUUAUUCAAUUAUCUAUUAUUUGCAAAUGUAUAAGAUAUAUGUUUUAAUGUAUGUGAAAGCUUUAUAUAUUGCAUGUAUUACGCUAUGUAUCAUGGUAUCUGUUUAUUGAGAUUGUGUAUCUCACUCCCUCAUCAUUUUCAGAUCCUACAGAGACCCGUUCAGGAGUAAGCGAUAACAGUAGAGAAGUCUUUUGCAAGUUAGGCUCUAUAAGACUCAGGUUACUACUUUGUACUUUUUCUUUAUAA
rnacentral:lncRNA from 1 species